rnacentral:lncRNA from 1 species
UAAAAUUUGUACUAAAAUUUUAUAUAAAAAUUAUUGUCAACAUUUCAUGCAUCCAACUUUAACUUGCAGCCUUCAGAGUACAGUCAGUGUGAUGUUUUGCCCAGAGACUGCUGUUAUCCCAAAUGAGAAGGAAUGUGUGGUACUAUUAGAAAUGAAUACAUCAAGCUAUAGUCAAACACCAGGAGAUAAAUGGAAAGGAGCAAGUUAGAAAACCACCCUGCUAACUCCCUCAUGCACUUGUGACAAAGACCUUCCCUCAAUCAAAUCAUGGACACAACUACUUCCUACCAUUCUUUUCAUCAUUCUCUCAGGCCAUUAUUUGCAAGUCAAGUGGGUAAUUCGUAGGUGUGUGCUCAUUAAGAACCACUGCAUGGAGUCCUUCUCUCUUUGAAUUAGACAUCAACAAACAGAACUGACUUCUAAAAUAAUUGGUGAGAAUUAAUUUUACUACCAAAUAGAAAUACUAUAGAGGAGAAUUUGGAGAAUGAUUAAGAAGUGCCUAUACUGAAAAUCGUCAUACUACAUAUUAUAUUAUAUGUGGGUGAUGUAAUGUUAUACAUCUCAUAUUCAAGACUAUGUUAACAACAAACUUUUUGGUAAUGAAUUACAAUAGCUUAACUGGUAAUUCUUUUUUGACUCAUG